UUUGUACUACCAAAGUUGGAACAAAUAACUAAUAUAUUGGAUGAUAAGGAGAAGGUAGGAGGAGAAGAGAAAAGAAAAACCCCAGAAUUGGAAGCGUGGAGGCUGUGCAGUGAGCAGGAAGUUGAAACUCAUCCAGCUGUCACAUAACAACAAAAGAAAAAUGUUUUAUGUAUUCAAUCAUCAUUAAAUGUGCUGUAUGUCUAUUUCCCA
rnacentral:lncRNA from 1 species